UGGGGAAUAUUGCACAAUGGGCGAAAGCCUGAUGCAGCAACGCCGCGUGAGUGAUGAAGGUCUUCGGAUUGUAAAGCUCUGNCUUUUGGGACGAUAAUGACGGUACCAAAGGAGGAAGCCACGGCUAACUACGUGCCAGCAGCCGCGGUAAUACGUAGGUGGCGAGCGUUGUCCGGAUUUACUGGGCGUAAAGGGUGCGUAGGCGGAUGUUUAAGUGAGAUGUGAAAUACCCGGGCUUAACUUGGGUGCUGCAUUUCAAACUGGAUAUCUAGAGUGCAGGAGAGGAGAAUGGAAUUCCUAGUGUAGCGGUGAAAUGCGUAGAGAUUAGGAAGAACACCAGUGGCGAAGGCGAUUCUCUGGACUGUAACUGACGCUGAGGCACGAAAGCGUGGGUAGCAAACAGGAUUAGAUACCCUGGUAGUCCACGCCGUAAACGAUGAGUACUAGGUGUAGGAGGUAUCGACCCCUUCUGUGCCGCAGUAAACACAUUAAGUACUCCGCCUGGGAAGUACGAUCGCAAGAUUAAAACUCUAAAGUGAA
rnacentral:rRNA from 1 species